GUGAGCUUGUCCCCUGGCCCUCCUCACCUGCUAACACACUUAAUUUGUUUCAUCUCUUUGUUCUGAGCCACGGACAGGGCGCCUGGCCCCACUCGUCAGGCAAGGUCUCCGCGCUGAUAGAAAAAUGAUGGCUCCUGCUGGACCUGACUCCUGCAAUGUGGCGGCCAUCUUGGAGGCAUGGGGUGACAAGCAUGACAGAAAGCCAAAGCUCUGAGGAGGGUAGAAAGAAAGGAUGGUCGGACCCUUCGUAUCUGGUGACAUAGUUCAAAUGCCCGAUGGUCCCUGAAACUGUCUAGAAACUAGAUUGUUUACGAAGGAAACCGUAAUCAUGUUCAUGGUUUCAUUUACUUACAGGUUGUGUGACUUCCUGGUGCCUGUGAUCAAAAACCUUCCUGCUAUGAACCCAACAAAUCAUGUUCCCCCUAGACUUAUCAUUGGGCUUGCCAUUCUGUGAAAACACUAAGCACUUUUCUCUCCGACAGAUCUCUCCUCCUCCCUCCACGCACAUGGCUCCUCCAGUGCACACCAUACUCUGAAGCUCCUCUGAAAUGUGAUCUCCAGAUGCCUUCCUUCGCCUCUGAGUUCCUGAGGGGGAGAACACACCAAGCACUUCAGUAGGUGGCGAGGAGGAGAUGUGGAGAAAGACAUCUGAAAGGCCUUUCCAGAAAUGAACAUUGCAAAUCGAACCCUCUUCUCAGCU